AUUUGCAGAAAUUGUCAAAGGAAUUUUGUUUCCCAAAAAUAAAAAGAACCAACACAAUUCCUUGAAAUUUAUUUGGAAUCCCAACCAAGAACACCAGGAAGCUGAAAAACUGCAUUGAAGCGUACAAACCCUUACCAGAGCUGCUAACUGGUGCUGCAGACGAUCUAUCAGCGGCAAUCGCUCUUAUAAAUAAAUAUUUUUUUCCAAAUUGCCCAGUGAUACAUCGACCAAACUAACUCCAUUAUUGAGAUGUGGAGAGACAAAGCGUUGCAACAAAGAUAUGUAUCAAUAUACACUUCGUUUGCCUAUAAAUUCGUCGGUAAAAUAUGACAUAGUGGGAUUACCAAUGCCAACUGAAAUCCUUGCAAGACUAACGGUAGCCCUUCAGGCAUGUCGAGAGUUGCAUAAAUGCGUGUAGAACUGGACAACACCUUGCAACCUAUUGGGAAAGAAGGAUUUAAAGCAUUCGAGUCUGAUUGGGAGGAGUUGGAAUUAGAAAAAAUUGACGAGCAAGUUUUUACAUAUAACGCAGGAUCAUGGCCUGGUGUAUAACCAAACGUCGCCAAUAUUAUUACAAACGAAUUGCAUCAGAGUUUUCCAAUUGUGGACCUACUGCUGGUGCUGUAUCCUAUUUGUACAUUCCUGAAGCACAAAAUACUCGCGGGCGAAAAAUUUAUCCGCUUCUUUGUAAAAUAUCGCAUUACAAUUCAAAAUACUAAUCAACCUCUGCUCGAUGUUAAUCUACGAUCGCCAGACUUAAUUUCCUUACCCCUCGAUAUGUAAACAGAAAAGAAAAAGCUUUACCAAGAAAGCUCGGAAGAAACCAAACGCGCAAAAAGAGAAAAUCUAGAACAAAAACAUAUAUUAGUCCCGGAACUUUCUACAGUUCAUCCAUUUCCUGCUUCUUUGUGGCGAACAGCUGUUCGUUUGCCAUGCAUUCUACAUCGAGUCAAUGGACUUUGACUGCCCGAAGUGCCAAUGACUUAAAUCUUCUCUAUUGGAAACAUAGCUGACAGUAUUAUUAUUACUAGCCGACCCAGCCCUCGAAAUUCGAGUGCCAAUUUCUUUAUUUUUUUUUUUAUUUGCAACAAUUUUGAACACAAUAAUACCAAAAUAGUUUCUUUAUUUUUUAUAGUAUUUGUUGUUGUUUUCUUACGAUCAACUACACUUUUUACACAGGAAUAUAUAAUAUACCUACUUUUUGAUAUAUUUUAAGCCUGAUUUAGAUAUUGUUGAACUACGUUUUAACUACGCUCAACUACGUAAAAAAAGUAUCGAAAAAGAAAAUGCAAAGUGUAAUCUCCUUAAGGGCAUUGUGUUUGCACCUUGCAUUUCAAUUCAAUUCAACCUGUUUCAUGUUCCAUUCGUUCAAAUUCCAUCCGUCAAUCAUUCAACCUCCACCAACUUCACUCAAAUUUGUCAUUCACACCAUUUUUUUUCAUUUAUCUUGUAGGAACAUGAAAACAGACCGAGUUCUUUUUGCGAUUGUGUAUGUGUCCUUUGACAACAAUUUUAACACGUACG